UACAGAGGGUGCGAGCGUUAAUCGGAAUUACUGGGCGUAAAGCGUGCGUAGACGGUUCUGUAAGUCGGAUGUGAAAAUCCCCCGGGCUCAACCUGGGAAUUGCAUUCGAGACUGCAAAGCUUGGGUGCGGAAGAGGGAAGCGGAAUUUCCGGUGUAGCGGUGAAAUGCGUAGAUAUCGGAAGGAACAUCAGUGGCGAAAGCGGCUUCCUGGUCCCAGGCACCCG
rnacentral:rRNA from 1 species